rnacentral:rRNA from 1 species
UUUCCGAGUCAUAUGCUAUUUGUCAACCGCCGGGUAACCGUAGAGCAUGGGGAUCCGAUUUAUUNGCAUAAGGCGUGUCCGCCGGUUUGUAAGUNGAGUGAAGGGUCCCUGCUUACUUGGAAGGGUCGUUCANACUAUCNGAACUUGGGGAUUGGAGAGGGGAGAAUGAAUUCCGGGGUGUAUGUGUGUGAAUGCGGUGGANAUCNGGAGGGAACACCAGUUGCGAGAAGCGGUCUCCUAGACCAUUUCUUACGCUUAUACACCGAAGGCUAGGGUAGCAAACGGGAAUAGAGACCCCGGGUAGUCCUAGCUGUAAACGAUGUAGACUUGGCGUUGGCGGAGUUAAAUCUGCCAGUGCCGAAGCUAACGCGUGAAGUCUACCGCCUGGGGACUACGACCGCCAGGGUAAAACUCAAAGGAAUUGACGGGGACCCGCACAAGCAGCGGAGCGUGUGGUUUAAUUCGAUGCUACACGAAGAACCUUACCAAGGUUUGACAUGCAAGUGGUAGUGAUCUGAAAAGUGAACGACCCUUCGGGGAGCUUGCACAGGUGCUGCAUGGCUGUCGUCAGCUCGUGUCGUGAGAUGUUCGGUUAAGUCCGCUAACGAGCGCAACCCUCACUGUGUGUUAUACGUGUCACACGGGACUGCCGGUUUUAAGCCGGAGGAAGGCGAGGAUGACGUCAAGUCAGCAUGGCCUUUAUAUCUUGGGCUACACACACGCUACAAUGGUCUGUACAACAGGUUGCCAAGCCGCGAGGCGGAGCCAAUCCUAAAAGCAGGCCUCAGUUCAGAUUGUAGGCUGCAACUCGCCUGCAUGAAGAUGGAGUUGCUAGUAACCGCAGGUCAGCUAUACUGCGGUGAAUACGUUCCCGGGUCUUGUACACACCGCCA